rnacentral:rRNA from 1 species
UAAUACGGAGGGGGCAAGCGUUGUUCGGAAUUACUGGGCGUAAAGGGCACGUAGGCGGCCUGAUUAGUCAGGCGUGAAAUCCCAUGGCUCAACCAUGGAAUUGCGUUUGAUACUGUCAGGCUUGAGUAUGGGAGAGGAGAGUGGAAUUCCUAGUGUAGCGGUGAAAUGCGCAGAUAUUAGGAGGAACACCAGUGGCGAAGGCGACUCUCUGGCCCGAUACUGACGCUGAGGUGCGAAAGCGUGGGGAGCGAACGGGAUUAGAUACCCCGGUAGUCCACGCUGUAAACGAUGGGUACUAGGUGUAGGGGAGUAUGAAAUCUUCUGUGCCGAAGCUAACGCAUUAAGUACCCCGCCUGGGGAGUACGAUCGCAAGAUUG